GCAGUGGGAGCCUCUUUAUGGGGUGACUGCGUACCUUUUGUAUAAUGGGUCAGCGACUUAUAUUCUGUAGCAAGGUUAACCGAAUAGGGGAGCCGAAGGGAAACCGAGUCUUAACUGGGCGUUAAGUUGCAGGGUAUAGACCCGAAACCCGGUGAUCUAGCCAUGGGCAGGUUGAAGGUUGGGUAACACUAACUGGAGGACCGAACCGACUAAUGUUGAAAAAUUAGCGGAUGACUUGUGGCUGGGGGUGAAAGGCCAAUCAAACCGGGAGAUAGCUGGUUCUCCCCGAAAGCUAUUUAGGUAGCGCCUCGUGAAUUCAUCUCCGGGGGUAGAGCACUGUUUCGGCAAGGGGGUCAUCCCGACUUACCAACCCGAUGCAAACUGCGAAUACCGGAGAAUGUUAUCACGGGAGACACACGGCGGGUGCUAACGUCCGUCGUGAAGAGGGAAACAACCCAGACCGCCAGCUAAGGUCCCAAAGUCAUGGUUAAGUGGGAAACGAUGUGGGAAGGCCCAGACAGCCAGGAUGUUGGCUUAGAAGCAGCCAUCAUUUAAAGAAAGCGUAAUAGCUCACUGGUCGAGUCGGCCUGCGCGGAAGAUGUAACGGGGCUAAACCAUGCACCGAAGCUGCGGCAGCGACACUAUGUGUUGUUGGGUAGGGGAGCGUUCUGUAAGCCUGUGAAGGUGUGCUGUGAGGCAUGCUGGAGGUAUCAGAAGUGCGAAUGCUGACAUAAGUAACGAUAAAGCGGGUGAAAAGCCCGCUCGCCGGAAGACCAAGGGUUCCUGUCCAACGUUAAUCGGGGCAGGGUGAGUCGACCCCUAAGGCGAGGCCGAAAGGCGUAGUCGAUGGGAAACAGGUUAAUAUUCCUGUACUUGGUGUUACUGCGAAGGGGGGACGGAGAAGGCUAUGUUGGCCGGGCGACGGUUGUCCCGGUUUAAGCGUGUAGGCUGAUUUUCCAGGCAAAUCCGGAAAAUCAAGGCUGAGGCGUGAUGACGAGGCACUACGGUGCUGAAGCAACAAAUGCCCUGCUUCCAGGAAAAGCCUCUAAGCAUCAGGUAACAUCAAAUCGUACCCCAAACCGACACAGGUGGUCAGGUAGAGAAUACCAAGGCGCUUGAGAGAACUCGGGUGAAGGAACUAGGCAAAAUGGUGCCGUAACUUCGGGAGAAGGCACGCUGAUAUGUAGGUGAAGCGACUUGCUCGUGGAGCUGAAAUCAGUCGAAGAUACCAGCUGGCUGCAACUGUUUAUUAAAAACACAGCACUGUGCAAACACGAAAGUGGACGUAUACGGUGUGACGCCUGCCCGGUGCCGGAAGGUUAAUUGAUGGGGUUAGCGGUAACGCGAAGCUCUUGAUCGAAGCCCCGGUAAACGGCGGCCGUAACUAUAACGGUCCUAAGGUAGCGAAAUUCCUUGUCGGGUAAGUUCCGACCUGCACGAAUGGCGUAAUGAUGGCCAGGCUGUCUCCACCCGAGACUCAGUGAAAUUGAACUCGCUGUGAAGAUGCAGUGUACCCGCGGCAAGACGGAAAGACCCCGUGAACCUUUACUAUAGCUUGACACUGAACAUUGAGCCUUGAUGUGUAGGAUAGGUGGGAGGCUUUGAAGUGUGGACGCCAGUCUGCAUGGAGCCGACCUUGAAAUACCACCCUUUAAUGU
rnacentral:rRNA from 1 species